CCUACGGGUGGCAGCAGUGAGGAAUAUUGGUCAAUGGCCGGAAGGCUGAACCAGCCAUGCCGCGUGAAGGUCAGUGCCCUAUGGGCGUUAAACUUCUUUUGUGCGGGAGCAAUAAUGGUCACGUGUGGCCAGACGAGAGUACCGUACGAAUAAGCAUCGGCUAACUCCGUGCCAGCAGCCGCGGUAAUACGGGGGAUGCAAGCGUUAUCCGGAUUUAUUGGGUUUAAAGGGUGCGUAGGCUGUGAGGUAAGUCAGCGGUGAAAUGCCCCCGCUCAACGGGGUGAAGUGCCAUUGAUACUGCCUGGCUGGAAUGCGGAUGCCGUGGGAGGAAUGUGUGGUGUAGCGGUGAAAUGCAUAGAUAUCACACAGAACACCGAUUGCGAAGGCAUCUCAUGAAUCCGCGAUUGACGCUGAUGCACGAAAGCGUGGGUAUCAAACAGGAUUAGAUACCCGUGUAGUC
rnacentral:rRNA from 1 species